UGGACAAUACGUUUCUGGUGACAGCUUGC
rnacentral:piRNA from 1 species